CCAAGAGGCUGAAGGGCUUACCCUGCUUGCAGGGAGGAAAGUCCGAACCACUAAAAGCGCGGAAUCCGCUACGGCGGACUAGGAGCAAUCUUAGGGCUCUGCUACAGAGACGAGAAAUAUGAAACGAGUAUCCUUCCGGUGGAAAUCUUAAGUUGGGACGCUAAAAUCUAGCUUUUGAGAGUCCCAGGUAAAGAGAAAAGAUAGAUGGCCCAUAAACAGAAUUCGGCUUAUCAGUUUCUUGG
rnacentral:RNase_P_RNA from 2 species